UUUAAGACCUCAAAAUGUGCACAGAGGAAGAGUCGCAGUACGUCUGGCAAAGGAGUACUACCAAUCAGGUAGUGACAAUGUGACGUCCAUCAUGGAGUGGCCAUGUGUCAAGAGAAUACUACUAACAGUUUACAUGUUACAAAACACACACUCUCGAAUGUGGCCUCCUAGCAUGCUAAAAGACGAGGGUCAAUGAUGAAUCUCUAAGCUCAUUAAACUCGUAUCGAAUGAGACGGUUGUUUGUUCGAGAGGAGAAGAAACGCUGUGUUGGUAGCACAUGAAUGUGCUCUGUGCUAGUGUGCUUGGAUUGGAUCCAAAGCAUCAUGUAUCAGUCAGUUCCUCCUAUUUCCAAAAAUGUUAGUCGCCUCCA